rnacentral:rRNA from 1 species
GUGGAGCAAUCCAUGAGUAGAGUGGCAAACGGGUGAGAACGCGUGGGCGACCUACCUCGAAGUGGGGGAUAACCUUCCGAAAGGAGGGCUAAUACCGCAUGACAUCCCAUGUUUGGAUACAUGGACAUCAAAGCCGGGGAUCGCAAGACCUGGCGCUUCAAGAGGGGCCCGCGUCCGAUUAGCUAGUUGGUGAGGUAACGGCUCACCAAGGCUCCGAUCGGUAUCCGGCCUGAGAGGGCGGACGGACACACUGGAACUGAGACACGGUCCAGACUCCUACGGGAGGCAGCAGUGGGGAAUUGUUCGCAAUGGGCGCAAGCCUGACGACGCAACGCCGCGUGGAGGAUGAAGACUUUCGGGUCGUAAACUCCUUUCGACCGAGAUGAAUGUCCUUCGACCUAACACGUCGAAGGAGUGACAGUAUCGAGGGAAGAAGCCCCGGCUAACUCCGUGCCAGCAGCCGCGGUAAUACGGGGGGGGCAAGCGUUGUUCGGAAUUACUGGGCGUAAAGGGUUCGUAGGUGGCUCGCUAAGUCAGACGUGAAAUCCCUCAGCUUAACUGGGGAACUGCGUCUGAGACUGGCGAGCUCGAGUGCAGGAGAGGAACGCGGAAUUCCAGGUGUAGCGGUGAAAUGCGUAGAUAUCUGGAGGAACACCGGUGGCGAAGGCGGCGUUCUGGACUGCAACUGACACUGAGGAACGAAAGCCAGGGUAGCAAACGGGAUUAGAUACCCCGGUAGUCCUGGCCCUAAACGAUGAAUGCUUGGUGUGGCGGGUAUCGAUCCCUGCCGUG